UACGUAGGCAGCGAGCGUUGUUCGGAAUUACUGGGCGUAAAGAGUGUGUAGGCGGUGCUCUAAGUUCGGUGUGAAAUCUCCUGGCUCAACUGGGAGGUGCGCCGGAAACUGGAGUGCUUGAGCGUGGGAGAGGAAAGCGGAAGUUCCUGGUGUAGCGGUGAAAUGCGCAGAUAUCAGGAGGAACACCGGUGGCGAAGGCGGCCUGCUGGGCAGUUUUGCUGACACUGAGGCGCGACAGCCGUGGGGAGCAAACAGG
rnacentral:rRNA from 1 species